UCAGAGUGAACGCUGGCGGCGUGGAUUAGGCAUGCAAGUCGUACGCGAAAGUUGCCUUCGGGUGGCGAGUAGAGUGGCGAAAGGGUGAGUAAUGCAUGGUUAACAUACCCUGGAGACCGGGAUAACUUGCUGAAAGGCGGGCUAAUACCUGGAUGGUUNUCCCACGGUGAAUAAACUGGCGGGGCUCCUUCGGGACCUGCUGCUCCGGGAGUGGACCAUGUCCCGUCAGUUAGUUGGUGAGGUAAGAGCUCACCAAGGCAAUGACGGGUAGCUGGUCUGAGAGGAUGGUCAGCCACACUGGGACUGAGACACUGCCCAGACUUCUACGGGAGGCUGCAGUCGAGAAUCAUCCGCAAUGGGCGCAAGCCUGACGGUGCGACGCCGCGUGAAGGAUGAAGGCCUUCGGGUUGUAAACUUCUAACACGGGUUAAGAAACGCCUGGCAUUAAUAGUGUCGGGUUUGACGUAACCCCGAGAUGAAGCACUGGCUAACUCCGUGCCAGCAGCCGCGGUAAUACGGAGAGUGCAAGCGUUACUCGGAAUCACUGGGCUUAAAGGACACGUAGGCGGCCUCGUAAGUCAGUUGUGAAAGCUCUCGGGUCAACCGAGGAACUGCAGCUGAUAACUGCGAAGCUAGAGGACGGUAGGGGAGAGCGGAACUCUGGGUGGACCGGUGAAAUGCGUAGAUAUCAAGAGGAACACCGGUGGCGAAGGCGGCUCUCUGGUCCGUUACUUGACGCUUGAGGUGUGAAAGCCAGGGUAGCGAAACGGGAUUAGAUACCC
rnacentral:rRNA from 1 species